UAAAUAAUGGUUUAAUGAUUUUAUUUGUUUAUUUGUUUCCGGCAUCCAAACAAUUAACUCUAACGAACUGCAAACUACACAAAAUGCAAACAACAACAAAAAAAUAAACAAAAACUCAAACGAAAACAAUAAUGAUCAUAAAAAAUUCACAGACACGCUGCGUGUCAAAGUACAAUGGGCCUUCGAGUUUUAAUUGCCACAGCGUGGACAGGAACGUUGUCGCCAUCGUCCUGCCACAGGAAUUAUGUAGAAUUCGGCGACAGGAGCAGCAGCACAAAAUUUGGGUUUAAUGGCAUUGCGUGAGUUUAGCGCAUUAGGAAGAAAAUGCUGAACAGGGAAGAGCAGAUCGCACACGUAAGUAAUGCUCUAAAGUCAUACUUAUAUUUAUGUCUGCCCGUUUGUUCAGCGUUUUUUUACACAACACAAACACUAUGAUACUUGUAAUAACAAUUAACAAUUAACUUUUUAUGGGCUCAUGCAUGUUGUUGGACAUAUAAUAAAUGUUUGUUAAUUCCA